rnacentral:rRNA from 1 species
AGAAUCAACGCUGGCGGCGUGCCUAACACAUGCAAGUCGAACGAGAAAGCGGGGGCAACUCUGCAAGUACAGUGGCAGACGGGUGAGUAACACGUGAACAACCUACCCUUGAGUGUGGAAUAACACCGCGAAAGCGGUGCUAAUACCGCAUAACAUCUUUGGUUCGCAUGAACUGGAGAUCAAGAGCGCAAGUUGCUUGAGGAGGGGUUCGCGGCUGAUUAGCUAGUUGGUGAGGUAACGGCCCACCAAGGCAGCGAUCAGUAGCCGGCCUGAGAGGGCGAACGGCCACACUGGAACUGAGACACGGUCCAGACUCCUACGGGAGGCAGCAGUGGGGAAUUUUGCGCAAUGGGCGAAAGCCUGACGCAGCAACGCCGCGUGGAGGAUGAAGGCCUUCGGGUCGUAAACUCCUGUCGAUGGGGACGAAGGCCCAGCAAUGGGUUUGACUGUACCCGUUGAGGAAGCCACGGCUAACUCCGUGCCAGCAGCCGCGGUAAUACGGAGGUGGCAAGCGUUGUUCGGAAUUACUGGGCGUAAAGGGCGCGUAGGCGGCUUGACAAGUCAGAUGUGAAAGCCCCGGGCUUAACCCGGGAAUUGCAUCUGAAACUGUUUAGCUUGAGUUCUGGAGGGGAUGGUGGAAUUCCCAGUGUAGCGGUGAAAUGCGUAGAUAUUGGGAGGAACACCUGCGGCGAAGGCGGCCAUCUGGACAGUGACUGACGCUGAGGCGCGAAAGCUAGGGGAGCGAACGGGAUUAGAUACCCCGGUAGUCCUAGCCGUAAACGAUGGGCACUUGGUGUUGGGGGUAUUGAGUCCCCCGGUGCCGGAGCUAACGCGAUAAGUGCCCCGCCUGGGGAGUACGGUCGCAAGACUGAA